rnacentral:lncRNA from 1 species
AUGAAAAUCCACAGGAACAUGUGUCUCUUGGCCAAGCAUUCCGAUCUGAUAUGCUGCAGUGACCUACAUGUGACACACAGCUCUUUCAGAGGGUAUCCUGUAUACAACCAAGCAAUUUCCCUGACCAGAUCUUUGGAUGCUUCUAGAAUGAUUUUCUGGAAACACUCUUUCACAUUUUUGCUUAGGGAUAUCAUACAGGCCAAAAAAGUUUGUUGGCUUUUUAAAAAAAGGAAGUGUGAAGUAAAGCAUUUACUGCCUUAAGUUGUUCAUACUUGUCCAGCAAAACACCAAUCAGGAGCUGUUUUCCAGAGCCCCUGCAGGUGUCCAAGUGCACAUUGAAUUUCACAGCAUCUAUUGUUUAUGCCAAGCAGUAGAUUUUUAAGUAACAUUUGGAAACAUUCACAGAAAAAGGAAAUUCUGGACUUGAGCAAUGGAAGUGAUCUUGCACAAAACCUGAAACUAAAUUUUACUUGCACAGGGGGAGAAAAAGGUGCAAAACCACCCUUAUGAGUCAUGAAUUUAUUCAACUCAUUCAAUGUCUAAAUAGCAUAUUAAAUAUAGGUUGCUCUUAAAUUGCUUUUGACGAGGGAGUUAUUCACUGAGUAAUUCUGAUUAAGCAAAAAUAUUUUGAAUAGUCAUAACUUGCUUGUGGUCGAUUCACAAAGAGAAAAAAAAAAAAAAAGUUAAACCAUACAAACAUGAUCUUUAUUCCAAAAAGUUUAUUCUGUUCUAGUCACAUGGUAACAUUAAUAUAUGUAGUUAAACCCCACUGGUAAGCCAUCAGCAAUAGAACUGGAAAAUAGAAUAGCAAUAGAACAUCAGGAAAAUCAGCCUUGGUGCUUCAAAUCCAUGCUUUUCAUUUGCAAACCAAGAACUGUGUAGUACAGGGGAAGAACCUGAAUUUCAAAUGCAAGCUAACUGACAUCAGGCAGUUACCUUGGACAAACUCCAUAGCAGUUAUUCCAGGAAUCUGAUGACUGAAAACUGUAGUUUUAGAUCAAUCAUAUUUCAUAAGCCAGUUUCAGGGCUGGGUUUUUUCUGUGUUGGAACAGUAAAGCUAGAAAGAGAUUAAGAAGCCUGCCUAGUAGUUAGCAUUGCAGCCUGUCAGAGUUGUAUUAUAGCACAAAAAAUUUCAAUUAGAUGAACGAUCCAAAGGUUGCCAAGAUAAGGAUUUAAAAGUCAGGAAAUACCAGAAAUAAAGUCAUUAUGCUCAGUUUUGGAACUUUGAAU